UACGUAGGGACCAAGCGUUGUUCGGAUUUACUGGGCGUAAAGGGCGCGUAGGCGGCCUGACAAGUCACUUGUGAAAUCUCCGGGCUUAACCCGGAACUGCCAAGUGAUACUGUUGUGCUAGAGUGCGGAAGGGGCUACUGGAAUUCUCGGUGUAGCGGUGAAAUGCGUAGAUAUCGAGAGGAACACCUGCGGCGAAGGCGGGUAGCUGGGCCGACACUGACGCUGAGGCGCGAAAGCCAGGGGAGCGAACGGG
rnacentral:rRNA from 1 species